rnacentral:rRNA from 1 species
GCAGUCGCGCGGUAAUACGAAGCGUGCAAGCGUUACUCGGAAUUACUGGGCGUAAAGCGUGCGUAGGUGGUGGUUUAAGUCCGUUGUGAAAGCCCUGGGCUCAACCUGGGAAUUGCAGUGGAUACUGGGUCACUAGAGUGUGGUAGAGGAUAGUGGAAUUUCCGGUGUAGCAGUGAAAUGCGUAGAGAUCGGAAGGAACAUCUGUGGCGAAGGCGACUAUCUGGGCCAACACUGACACUGAGGCACGAAAGCGUGGGGAGCAAACAGGAUUAGAUACCCGUGUAGUCCCUGUCUCUUAUACA